GGAUCCAGACUUUGAUUCUGGCUCAGGAUGAACGCUAGCUACAGGCUUAACACAUGCAAGUCGAGGGGAAACGACAUCGAAAGCUUGCUUUUGAUGGGCGUCGACCGGCGCACGGGUGAGUAACGCGUAUCCAACCUGCCCACCACUUGGGGAUAACCUUGCGAAAGUAAGACUAAUACCCAAUGAUAUCUCUAGAAGACAUCUGAAAGAGAUUAAAGAUUUAUCGGUGAUGGAUGGGGAUGCGUCUGAUUAGCUUGUUGGCGGGGUAACGGCCCACCAAGGUAACGAUCAGUAGGGGUUCUGAGAGGAAGGUCCCCCACAUUGGAACUGAGACACGGUCCAAACUCCUACGGGAGGCAGCAGUGAGGAAUAUUGGUCAAUGGGCGAGAGCCUGAACCAGCCAAGUAGCGUGCAGGAUGACGGCCCUAUGGGUUGUAAACUGCUUUUAUAAGGGAAUAAAGUGAGUCUCGUGAGACUUUUUGCAUGUACCUUAUGAAUAAGGACCGGCUAAUUCCGUGCCAGCAGCCGCGGUAAUACGGAAGGUCCGGGCGUUAUCCGGAUUUAUUGGGUUUAAAGGGAGCGUAGGCCGGAGAUUAAGCGUGUUGUGAAAUGUAGACGCUCAACGUCUGCACUGCAGCGCGAACUGGUUUCCUUGAGUACGCACAAAGUGGGCGGAAUUCGUGGUGUAGCGGUGAAAUGCUUAGAUAUCACGAAGAACUCCGAUUGCGAAGGCAGCUCACUGGAGCGCAACUGACGCUGAAGCUCGAAAGUGCGGGUAUCGAACAGGAUUAGAUACCCUGGUAGUCCGCACGGUAAACGAUGGAUGCCCGCUGUUGGUCUGAAUAGGUCAGCGGCCAAGCGAAAGCAUUAAGCAUCCCACCUGGGGAGUACGCCGGCAACGGUGCAACUCAAAUGAAUUGACG
rnacentral:rRNA from 1 species